rnacentral:misc_RNA from 1 species
CGAUGCCCAUUCCAGUGUAUAUAUAGUUCAGUGUUUUGAAGUCAUUUUGACAUCAUUUCGAUAUUAUCAUGAUUUUUUGUUCUACUUGCUUAUUAUACUGAUCUAACCUUACCCGUACCUGUUUUCGAGCGUCAAUUGACGUCCAUGGAAAAGCACCUUAAGCGGUCGAAUGCUCGUGACUCGUGAUAACUUGAAUAACUGUCGACGAGUGAGUGAGAUUUCGUGAGGAUUCAUAAGUUCGGUGACUUGUGAUUCGAUAGUUAUCGUUGGUUAUUGUCUCGGAACUUGAAACCGGGCAACGGGAUCUCACCUUUCGGAUCGCGCGACAAUACAAAUGGUGCGAUUGCUGCAUAAUGUAUACGCCAGACUGUUGAGAUCUUGCGAGAAGGUCUCCUAAAAGAAGCGCCUUUAACGAUUCCGUGCGGGCGCGAAACGCGAGGUUCGAGGGUGAUUCUUGCCAGAAUGGCGGAGAAUCAGAGUAACUUAUCUAGCCAGACCGGUCAAGGUUCUGGCAGAUCUUUUAAUUUUCCGCGAAUGGAUUUUCGAACAAAUAAUGACGUUCAAAAUGAGAUGUCGGAGAGACGAAGACAGCUGAAACUUAGUUUCCAAACGCAAGGCAAUAAUUUGUCAUUUGCCAAUUCUACAAAUUCUUUAUUGUCAAAUUCAACAGGAGCCAUGGCGUGUCCACCAAUAUCCUCUCGCCCAAGUCUGCCUUUAUCUCUACCUAAGCUGCCAGUAAGAUCUCGCAAUAUGUUACAGCAGCAAGAAUUUCUUCCUGAUAAGGCAAGAGACAAACUACGAAUGUGCCAGUCUAUGCAGACUACUGGUAAAUUGCAAUUAUCUUCAGACGUAGUGUAUGAUUUCACAAGCGAGGACCUUCAGGAUCUUGGAGAAAUAGGAAGAGGAGGAUUUGGAACUGUAAAUAAAAUGAUUCAUAGGAUAAGCAAUACCGUUAUGGCUGUGAAGAGAAUUCGCUCUACCGUGGACGAAAGAGAACAAAAGCAAUUGUUAAUGGAUUUGGAAGUUGUGAUGAAAUCGAAUGAAUGCCCGUGUAUUGUGCAAUUUUAUGGCGCUUUAUUUAAAGAGGGAGAUUGUUGGAUUUGCAUGGAACUUAUGGAUACAUCGUUAGAUAAGUUUUACAAAUUCAUCUAUGAGAAAUUAAACGAGAGGAUACCAGAAUGUAUUCUAGGCAAAAUCACAGUUGCCACUGUAAAAGCACUGAAUUACCUCAAAGAGAAACUAAGAAUAAUUCACAGGGAUGUGAAACCUAGUAAUAUUUUAUUGGAUCGUCGAGGUAACAUAAAAUUGUGCGACUUUGGUAUAUCUGGCCAGCUUGUGGACUCAAUUGCGAGGACUCGUGAUGCUGGUUGUAGACCAUAUAUGGCUCCGGAAAGGAUAGACCCUCAACGCGCACGUGGCUACGACGUACGGAGCGACGUAUGGUCAUUAGGUAUUACGCUGAUGGAGGUUGCUACAGGAUAUUUUCCAUACCCAAAGUGGAACUCUGUCUUUGAACAACUGUAUCAAGUAGUUCAAGGUGAUCCGCCGCGACUUUCCCCCAAUGAGAAUGGCAAUCAUUUCACUAUGGAUUUUGUGAACUUUGUGAAUACAUGCUUAAUUAAAGAGGAGACGCAGCGACCGAAGUACAAUAAAUUGCUGGAACAUCCGUUCAUCAGACAAGCCGAGGAAGCGACGAUCGAUGUCGCGGCGUACAUCAGUGGUGUACUGGACAAUAUGGCUAAUAACGGAGUGACACCGUUCACUACUAAUCAACCAUAAGAAUCGGUAAUUAAAGCAGCGAGGUGACUGCAGGGCAUGUCACACAUCAUAAUACAUCGGUUUUUGCAGUUCUCUUCAAACAUUUACCUUUCGAAUACCGUGUAUGAACGGUGUUAUUGCACUCCGAACGAUAUCUCGUAGAUAGCGGAAACCGAUGACUGUUUCAGUCGACAUGCGUCGUCGUCUCACUUAGAAUUUGUAUUCUCGUGGUCAUGGAAUGACCGUGUGCGCAAUAGAAUGACUAUUGAGAAGCGCGCUGGCGAGCUGGCGUUUGUUAAAUUGAAUUACAAUCGGAACAUCGUAGGAGUACUCGGCAGACUAGUCGCCAAGAUGAUAUUGAGGAUAUAUCCGCAUUGGCCAUUUUUGAGGAUUUUCUUAGGACAGAUUUAAAUACGAAUAUAAAAUAUUAGGAGUGCUAUAAUGUAAUGGAAAUAAAUCAUCGACACUCGCA